GAUUAGUAAUAUAAAGUGACAAUCUUAUAUGUGAAGACAUUCACUGCAUUGUUUGAAACCCCGUGGACUAUUUACAUAUAUCAGACAGUACAGUGGUGGCCAGAAUAAAGGUCAUUCAGUCUCUUGACCAGAUUUGCUGACACUAUGGCUAACACGUUACGUCUUGCUGUGUAUCCCGUGACUCAAGUUGUAGUCCUGAUUGAGCAAUGUUUGUUUAUACUGGUAGGUUGGUAUGACAGAUAUCUCUAUUCGCCGCUGCAAGUCACGCUGUGGCCACUGGUGGAAAAGGUUCCCAGGUCAUUAGUUCUGGAUGGCCGUGAGGUCAACAUUUUCACUGCCAACAUAGUCUCUUGGAGCCGGACGGUGCUGGCUAUACCCAUAGCACUCACACU
rnacentral:sRNA from 1 species